AACGAACGUUCGCGGCGCGCUUAACACAUGCAAGUCGAACGAGAAAGCUCCUUCGGGAGUGAGUAAAGUGGCGCACGGGUGAGUAUCACGUGGGUUAUUUACCUAUUGGUGGGGGACAACACCUUGAAAAGGGUGCUAAUACCGCAUAAGUCCGUUUCGGCGGGGAAAGGUGGCUUCGGCUAUCGCCAGUAGAUGAGCCCGCGGCCCAUCAGCUUGUUGGUAGGGUAAUGGCCUACCAAGGCUACGACGGGUAGCUGGUCUGAGAGGAUGACCAGCCACACUGGAACUGAGACACGGUCCAGACUCCUACGGGUGGCAG
rnacentral:rRNA from 1 species